AUGGUAAAGACGGGUUCCAGUUGGUAUGGAUGGUAAAGACGGGUUCCAGUUGGUAUGGAUGGUUCCAGUUGGUAUGGAUGGUAAAGACAGGUUCCAGUUGGUAUGGAUGGUUCCAGUUGGUAUGGAUGGUAAAGACAGGUUCCAGUUGAUAUGGAUGGUAAAGACAGGUUCCGUUGAUAUGGAUGGUAAAACAGGUUCCAGUUGAUAUUGGGUAAAGACAGGUCCAGUUGAUAUAUAUUUGGUAAAGGACAGGUUCCAGUUGGUAUGGAUGGGUAAAAAAAAGAAAGUACAAGCAUCGGCAUCUAUCUAGCAGGCUACAUACAGCGCAUUCGGGAAAAGUAUUCAGACCCCUUGACUUUUUCCACAUUUUUGUUACGUUACAGCCUUAUUCUAAAAUGGAUUACAUCGGGUUUUUUUGUCAUCAAUCUACUCACACAAUAUCCCAUUAUGUCAUCACAAUACCCCCAUAAUGACAAAGCAAAAACAGGUUUUGGGGAAUUUGUUAUCAAAUUUAUCAAAUUUAAAUAAAAAAAUGGAAAUACCACAUUUACACAAGUAAUUCAGACACUUUACUCAGUACUUUGUUGAAGCACCUCUGGCAGCGAUUACA
rnacentral:lncRNA from 1 species